CCGUGGGAAAUCAAAAGGCCGAGCCCUUACUCUUCCUGCAGACUGGACUGCCUACCUGACUAUCUCCUCAAGCCCAGGACCUGGCCAGAAUGGAGGACCUGUAAGAAGAUCAAAGUCCAAACCAGGGCUCAUGGCUGAGCAAGCUCUUUAGUCAGGGACAAGGGUCUAGCAGAUGCUUAGGACUUGGUAAAUGAAAAGACGGAACUUUUGGCAGAAUGGCAGAAAAGGGGUCUAGGAAUGGGCAGAUUGCUGCACCCUAGCCUCACAGUUAGAGAGGUUGAUGAGAGUCAUGAUCCUUCACACUGCAAUACAUCUGACUGCAAAAAAAAAAGGUGAUAUUUUCAACUUUUGCCCAUGGUCUACUGAAACUUUGGUGCAAUAAGGGCAUGGAGCACCUGAGCUUAACAUUCUCCUGGGGCAGCCAGUUGUAGGAGUGAUGGAGGAGGAAAAAGAAGUGGAAAUUGCAGCCUGGAGUGCACUGGGAAAGGAUACCAAAAGGACAAGAAGCAGAGGGGAAAUACAAGGUGUACUUGCUCUCAGUGCAACCUAUUCUUGGAGGAUCAGCAAACAACAGAUUCUUUGUUUCAUCGCUACUGAUUCGUUAAAUGUCAGUGUCUUUGCCCCUGCCAGGUGUUACCUAUAAAUAAUUCUGUCACCCAACUACAUCAUGUGCCAAAAAAGGAAAGACUGAGAUGAACAGGACCAAGACCCAGAAGGGAUCACUUUAAUUUAAGAAAGAGCACCUACUAUGUAAAUAAUCAACUACUUGCUCACCACAGACACCCUCAGGAGAAAGAAAGGGGGAGGUCCCACAGCAGUACACAGUUGGACCAGAGCCAACACAAGAGUGCACCCACAGUACCAGCUGUGCCAGACAUCUGCAGUGAGUCUUCCUGGGGCAAGAGCAAGAAGCCCAGGGAUGCUGCUGCACAGUUCAUUGCACGCUUCCCAGGACCUGGCCUAAGCCAGGAUUAGUUUCAAGACCUGGCACUAUCAGUGAUAUUACUCAUAUAAUUUUGAGAAAAUCACUUGCCCUCCAUCUGUCUCAGUUUCUUCACCUGUGAAACAGAACCUGAGAGUGGCUUUGCAAUGCGUGACUACUUUUCUGGCUCUGGCUUCUCUGCCUGCUCUACAGCUGUGGCAUGGCAGUCUGCAGCAGGAGAAAACUACUGUGGAGUUGGUGCUACAGCCAAAGGACAAGACCUAAGAAGAGAAUUUAACUCAUGCCUCCAUUACACGUGUUGGGCAUAAGCAUAAUAAUGACUACACUACAGUUCUUCUUCAACAAGAAGUAUUAAAAAAU